GCAAAAGAAGUAGGUAGCUUAACCUUCGGGAGGGCGCUUACCACUUUGUGAUUCAUGACUGGGGUGAAGUCGUAACAAGGUAACCGUAGGGGAACCUGCGGUUGGAUCACCUCCUUA
rnacentral:ncRNA from 110 species